rnacentral:misc_RNA from 1 species
GAGAAGAACGUAGCGAAAUGCGAUAAGUAAUGUGAAUUGCAGAUUUCAGUGAAUCAUCGAAUCUUUGAACGCACCUUGCGCCUUGUGGUAUUCCACAAGGCAUGCCCGUUUGAGUAUCAUUAAAUCAUCAACUCUAAAACCUUUGUGGUUUUUUUAGAGCUUGGUCUUGAGGGUUUUGCAGGCUUUUUUUUUCGAGUCUGCUCCCUUUAAAUGCAUUAGCGAGACUUCCCUAUGCUGAACCGUCUCUUUGACGUGAUAAUUAUCUGCGUCGAAUUUUGGUUCUCGUUGGGCUUGCUUCUAAUCGUCUGUUAAAGACAAAACGGAUUUGGGUGCAUAUAUGCGCCUUUUUCCAAAACCUUUUUUGAUCUCAAAUCGGGUAGGACUACCCGCUGAACUUAAGCAUAUCAAUAAGCGGAGGA